CGGGGCCACGCUGGCUGAGGCCUCCUGACCACGCUGUCCUGGGCUGGGCUGCCUUCUCUCCACCCAGGCUGAGGCUCAUCCAGCACAAGGGUGGGGCCACGGAAGGGCAGUGGGCACCCAGCGCAGAUGGACGAGAGGUGUUUCCCCUGAGCAUGGUGGAGGCUCACAGAUGAGAGGUGUUUCCCCUGAGCACGGUGGAGGCUCAUAGAUGAGACGUGUUUCCCCUGAGCAUGGUGGAGGCUCAUAGAUGAGAGGUGUUUCCCCUGAGCACAGUGGAGGAUCCAGGGACUCUCAAGGCCCCGUGUGCUGAGCCCCGGCUGUCUGCAGCACUGUAUUGUGAAGAUCACCAGGGAAAAGAACCACGCCUGCUCCCCAGCUACUCUGUGCUGACCUGAAAGAGGCCUUGGUGUGCGUGGGAGUGGGGACCAACGUUGCCUGGUGUCACAGGACGCACCGGGGGGUCCCUGCCCUGCCUCCCUGCCAUCCCGUCUGGAGCACAGCAUGUGUCCAGAGAGGCUGAGCAGCCCGGCAGGGACAGAGAGGUUGC
rnacentral:lncRNA from 1 species